UACGUAGGGGGUGAGCGUUGUCCGGAUUUAUUGGGCGUAAAGAGCUCGUAGGCGGUUCGAUAAGUCGGACGUGAAAUCUCCACGCUCAACGUGGAGGGGCCGUUCGAUACUGUCGUGACUCGAGUCCGGUAGGGGAGUGUGGAAUUCCCGGUGUAGCGGUGAAAUGCGCAGAGAUCGGGAGGAACACCCGUAGCGAAGGCGGCACUCUGGGCCGGUACUGACGCUGAGGAGCGAAAGCGUGGGGAGCAAACAGG
rnacentral:rRNA from 1 species